UAUGGUAAGAUAAGAUUUAUAUUACAAUAAUUUUUGCUAUUUAUGUGGUUAACAUAACAACACAGUGAGGUUAACAACAACAACACAGGUCUAUCUUGAUGUGACUAUCUUAUUCAAUGUUUCUGGUUUUGAGGAAAGCAUUUUCCCAUCAUUUCAAACGUCUACCUUGUAUGAUGUGACUACCUUCUUAUUCAAUAUUUCUGGUUUCGAGAAAAGCAUUUGCCCGUCAUAUCAAACAUCAUGUUACUGAGGACAGUGGAUAAAAUUGAUAUGGUGUUUUGUUACCAUGCUAUGGAGGGUAAUGGUGGAUGAGUGAGGGAUGACACUAACAGGACAAUAAGAAUCGCGUUCGAGAGAACUGAAAUGCAUUCUAAGCUAGUAUUUCAUCUUAGCCAAGUAUUCAAGUUUAUGAAACUACUGUCUGUAAGACAGGCAUUACGAUGUAAGGAAAUACAGUUGUAGCAAAUAAUAUUAUAUCUUUGAUAAAUAAAAUUAAUUUGAAUUUAUUCGAA
rnacentral:lncRNA from 1 species